GCGGUGCAUGGGGCUAGAACUCAGGGCCCAGCAGGUCUGACAAUGCAGGUUUCCCCGCUCGCCUGUUGGGUUUUUGAAACGCCCUCAGCGGGGUUUUCCUCCUAAUUCUGGUUUGGAGGAGCCAUCUCUCUCCAUCCCGUCUGCCAGCGGGGUUUGCUUCACACACAGACGUGGGCAGAUGGCAUCGGGGACACAGGGAAACCUGACCUUAGAGGAAAUGGAAAAGUUGGAGAGACACUGAGCACUGAUACGAAAUAAUUCUCUUGCUGAAAUACACGAAAGGAGUCCCAGCAGCCAUAUUAGUAUUUCCACGUCCUGUGUCAGCCCCAAGUAGAGAGAACUUGGAAUGGGAGGGGAAAUGGCAGCCAUCAGGAAAUGAAAUGCUGGCCCAGAGAAUUCUAAGCAAGUCAAUCACCAGUCCAAAGGAAAGGCCAUGUGAGGACAUAAGGAGGAGACAGCCAUCUAUAAGCCAAGAAGAAAGCCCUCACUAGAAACCAACUCUAAUGGCACCCUGAUCUUGGAUUUCUAGCCCCUGGACAAUGAGAAAAUAAAUGUCUGUUGUUUAAAAAAA
rnacentral:lncRNA from 1 species